UACGGAGGGUGCAAGCGUUAUCCGGAUUUACUGGGUUUAAAGGGUGCGCAGGCGGAUAUGUAAGUCAGUGGUGAAAUCUCUAGGCUUAACCUGGAAAUUGCCGUUGAUACUAUAUAUCUUGAAUGCUGUGGAGGUAAGCGGAAUAUGUCAUGUGGCGGUGAAAUGCUUAGAUAUGACAUAGAACACCUAUUGCGAAGGCAGCUUACUACGCAGAUAUUGACGCUCAUGCACGAAAGCGUGGGGAUCAAACAGG
rnacentral:rRNA from 1 species